UGAGUAACCUGCCCUUAACUUCGGGAUAAGCCUGGGAAACCGGGUCUAAUACCGGAUACAACGGACCACCGCAUGGCGGUCCGUGGAAAGCUUUAUGCGGUUUUGGAUGGACUCGCGGCCUAUCAGCUAGUUGGUUGGGGUAAUGGCCCACCAAGGCGACGACGGGUAGCCGGCCUGAGAGGGUGACCGGCCACACUGGGACUGAGACACGGCCCAGACUCCUACGGGAGCAGCAG
rnacentral:rRNA from 1 species